rnacentral:sRNA from 1 species
GCCGGAGCCUGGAGUCGUGGCCCGGAGCGGGCCUUGGAGUCGGCGCGCAGGCGGCUCGCGGUUGUGAAAUGUGCUCGCAGGAGGCUUUUCAGGCACAGAGGAGCCAGCUGGUGGAGCUGCUGGUCUCAGGGUCCCUGGAGGGCUUCGAGAGUGUCCUGGACUGGCUGCUGUCCUGGGAGGUCCUCUCCUGGGAGGACUACGAGGGCUUCCACCUCCUGGGCCAGCCUCUCUCCCAGUUGGCCAGGCGCCUCCUGGACACCGUCUGGAAUAAGGGUACUUGGGCCUGUCAGAAACUCAUCGCGGCUGCCCAAGAAGCCCAGGCCGACAGCCAGUCCCCCAAGCUGCAUGGCUGCUGGGACCCCCACUCGCUCCACCCAGCCCGAGACCUGCAGAGUCACCGGCCAGCCAUUGUCAGGAGGCUCCACAGCCAUGUGGAGGACAUGCUGAACCUGGCAUGGGAGCGGGGUUUCGUCAGCCAGUACGAAUGUGACGAAAUCAGGUUGCCGAUCUUCACACCGUCCCAGAGGGCAAGAAGGCUGCUUGAUCUUGCCACGGUGAAAGCGAAUGGAUUGGCUGCCUUCCUUCUACAACAUGUUCAGGAAUUACCAGUCCCGUUGGCCCUGCCUUUGGAAGAUGAAAGAACUGAGGCCCAGAAAGGCUAAAUGGCUUGCCCAAGUGUAUGGUGGACCCAGGUUUUCAAACUCAGCUGCCACAUGCAAGAAGUACAUGGCCAAGCUGAGGACCACGGUGUCUGCUCAGUCUCGCUUCCUCAGUACCUAUGAUGGAGCAGAGACGCUCUGCCUGGAGGACAUAUACACAGAGAAUGUCCUGGAGGUCUGGGCGGACGUGGGCAUGGCUGGACCCCCGCAGAAGAGCCCGGCCACCCUGGGCCUGGAGGAGCUCUUCAGCACCCCCGGCCACCUCAAUGAUGAUGCGGACACUGUGCUGGUGGUGGGUGAGGCGGGCAGUGGCAAGAGCACGCUCCUGCAGCGGCUGCACUUGCUGUGGGCUGCAGGGCGAGACUUCCAGGAAUUUCUCUUUGUCUUCCCAUUCAGCUGCCGGCAGCUGCAGUGCAUGACCAAACCACUCUCUGUGCGGAC